GAUGAACGCUGGCGGCGUGCCUAAUACAUGCAAGUCGAGCGAACAGACGAGGCUCUUGCUCCUCUGACGUUAGCGGCGGACGGGAGAGUAACACGUGGAUACCCUACCUAUAAGACUGGGAUAACUUCGGGAAACCGGAGCUAACACCGGAUGAUCUAUUGAACCGCAUGGUUCAAUAGUGAAAGACGGUUUUGCUGUCACUUAUAGAUGGAUCCGCGCCGCAUUAGCUAGUUGGUAAGGUAACGGCUUACCAAGGCAACGAUGCGUAGCCGACCUGAGAGGGUGAUCGGCCACACUGGAACGGAGACACGGUCAAGACGCCUACGGGAGGCAGCAGUAGGGAAUCGGCCGCAAUGGGCGAAAGCCUGACGGAGCAACGCCGCGUGAGUGAUGAAGGUCUUCGGAUCGUAAAACUCUGUUAUUAGGGAAGAACAAAUGUGUAAGUAACUAUGCACGUCUUGACGGUACCUAAUCAGAAAGCCACGGCUAACUACGUG
rnacentral:rRNA from 1 species